CAUGUUGUUAGUUGUGGGCGGAGCACCAGGGCACAUUCCUUGGAUGUGAAUACUUGGCCAAUAAACUUAUUAAUUCAUUCAUACAU